rnacentral:rRNA from 1 species
UAUUGGGCGUAAGGGCUCGCAGGCGGUUUCUUAAGUCUGAUGUGAAAGCCCCCGGCUCAACCGGGGAGGGUCAUUGGAAACUGGGGAACUUGAGUGCAGAAGAGGAGAGUGGAAUUCCACGUGUAGCGGUGAAAUGCGUAGAGAUGUGGAGGAACACCAGUGGCGAAGGCGACUCUCUGGUCUGUAACUGACGCUGAGGAGCGAAAGCGUGGGGAGCGAACAGGAUUAGAUACCCUGGUAGUCCACGCCGUAAACGAUGAGUGCUAAGUGUUAGGGGGUUUCCGCCCCUUAGUGCUGCAGCUAACGCAUUAAGCACUCCGCCUGGGGAGUACGGUCGCAAGACUGAAACUCAAAGGAAUUGACGGGGGCCCGCACAAGCGGUGGAGCAUGUGGUUUAAUUCGAAGCAACGCGAAGAACCUUACCAGGUCUUGACAUCCUCUGACAAUCCUAGAGAUAGGACGUCCCCUUCGGGGGCAGAGUGACAGGUGGUGCAUGGUUGUCGUCAGCUCGUGUCGUGAGAUGUUGGGUUAAGUCCCGCAACGAGCGCAACCCUUGAUCUUAGUUGCCAGCAUUCAGUUGGGCACUCUAACGUGACUGCCGGUGACAAACCGGAGGAAG